UCUGGCUAAAGGACUAUUUCACCCCCUCUCCAAGGAGACUUUUGCAGCUUUAUCUCCCUUUUGCAGACCUGACUUAAGCUCAAGGCUGAGUCAUCAGGGACCUGGAAAUGCUUCUCCUUUUCCUGGUAAACCUUCUGGCCUGAGAUAGAAUCACUAGAGUCUGGUCACCUGACGGAGAGGCUGGUCUGGGAGCCUGGAGGUGCCCGUCUCCACCUCCUCAAGCAGGGCAGCCAUGCAUGGAUGUGCACUUUGUUCUCUGCACAAAAGUGCCUGGCUGAGGGGUCCAGAGAGAACUGAAAUCCUGCUGCACCCAGUUUGCCAAGCUGUAUACCCUGGCAUUGCAUCCACUCAGAGAGGGUGCCUUUUUCUAUCUUGCACAAAGGCACAGUUUAGCGUAGUGGCUGGCUUUGCCCUGGAGUUUAUUUAAUCCCAUUGUAAUUGUCUAUUUAUAUGUUUGUCUUCUUCCUAAGGUUCUUAAUGACUGAAAUCUGGUCUUACUUAAUCUUUAUUCCCACUGCAGCACAGGGAUAGAUGUAUAGUAGACCUUAGUAUAAUAGCUCAAUACAUUACUAGGGACAAGGAUAU